GACGAACGCUGGCGGCGUGCUUAACACAUGCAAGUCGAACGGAAAGGCCCUGCUUGCAGGGUACUCGAGUGGCGAACGGGUGAGUAACACGUGGGUGAUCUGCCCUGCACUUCGGGAUAAGCCUGGGAAACUGGGUCUAAUACCGGAUAGGAGCCAUUUUUAGUGUGAUGGUUGGAAAGUUUUUUCGGUGUAGGAUGAGCUCGCGGCCUAUCAGCUUGUUGGUGGGGUAAUGGCCUACCAAGGCGGCGACGGGUAGCCGGCCUGAGAGGGUGGACGGCCACAUUGGGACUGAGAUACGGCCCAGACUCCGACGGGAGGCAGCAGGGGGGAAGAUUGCACAAUGGGCGCAAGCCUGAUGCAGCGACGCCGCGUGGGGGAUGACGGCCUUCGGGUUGGAAACUCCUUUCGCUAGGGACGAAGCUUUUUGUGACGGUACCUAGAGAAGAAGCACCGGCUAACUACGUG
rnacentral:rRNA from 1 species